UACGUAGGGGGCAAGCGUUGUCCGGAUUUAUUGGGCGUAAAGAGCGUGUAGGCGGCCAGGUAGGUCAGCUGUGAAAACUCGAGGCUCAACCUCGAGACGCCGGUUGAAACCAUCUGGCUAGAGUCCGGAAGAGGAGAGUGGAAUUCCUGGUGUAGCGGUGAAAUGCGCAGAUAUCAGGAAGAACAUCCGUGGCUAAGGCGGCUCUCUAGUACGGUACUGACGCUGAGACGCGAAAGCGUGGGGAGCGAACAGG
rnacentral:rRNA from 1 species